AUAUUCCCUGUGCUCCCCUGGGAUCAACAGCCAAAUGAACAACUUCACCUGAGCCCUUACCUCCAAGGAAGUGCCACAGGGGAACCCAAAGGCCCUUAAUCAUUAAAAAAAACUUUAGAGAUGCUGGCUGAGCCAUCAGUGAGAACAUGGAUGCAUACACAGAACCUACAUCUUGUCAUCUCUGCUCUUCGAGGAAUGGAGCUGGAGAGGCAGAGAAGCAAUGAAGCCGAAUUCUGAGUAGUAUACUCUGAUGAAGAGGAUAUUUUACAAGCAUAGAAAAAGGAGGGCUCCAGUCUUCAAAGAACCAGAGCAUGGGUACCAAAGCCUCCCAGAGCUAGUUCUGGUCCCAGCUCAGCCACUUGUCUGUUUGGGUGACUAUAGAACUCCAGAUCCAGGUGGGCUCUUUCCAUGGAGCCUGAGACUUAUGAUGCCAGGUGCCUGGACAAAGCUUCCAGGUGAUGGUGGCAGUGUCCCAGAGAAGGGAAAGCAUGGCAUUCUGGGAGCACAGGGCCAGGAGCACCCGGGUUUGAAUGUCAGCUCCCCGUUUUCCAGCCCUUGGACGUGUUACCUGUCUGGACAUCAGCCUCAGAAUAAUAAUAGCCCUGAGCUUCAGGUUAAGGAAAUCCUCUUAUGAGAUAGAGCUCAGCUCCUCCUGUAGAAGCUGAAAUUCCAGACACUGGACUUCCCAGUCUCCCUUGCCACUAGAUAUGGACACGUGAUCAAGAUUCCACCAAUCAGAUGGUCUUUGAAUCUGCUAGUGACAAAAAGAAAGGAACAUGCCAAAUCCAUUCUGGCAGAUUUAAGACACAAUGGCAGCUACAUCCAGUUCCCAGAGGCAGCAGGGCCAGUGGUUCUAGCAUCGGCAUCCAAGAACACUUGCUGAUGGUGCAGAUGGUGUGAGCUGCAGUGUCCAGGUGCAGUAUGGCUGCUAUGGUGUCCUCAAUGAAUGAAUCCUGCAGUGGAAUUUACAGUGUUGUUCCUGGCUGCACAGUCUUCAAGCCUUUUUCUCUGGAUACUCUAGGAAUUCUUUGAGUUUCCCAGUGUCCUUUCAAUAAAUUCUUCUUCCUAAAUUAA